CGUCGGUCCCCCCGCGACGCAAAGCCGUGAACCCGGUCAGGCCCGGAAGGGAGCAGCCGCAGCGGUGGAAGCGGGCGCCGGGGUGUGGCUGGCGCAG
rnacentral:SRP_RNA from 1 species